rnacentral:rRNA from 1 species
UACGUAGGGGGCAAGCGUUGUCCGGAAUUAUUGGGUGUAAAGAGCGUGUAGGCGGCCAGAUAAGUCCGCUGUGAAAUCUCGAGGCUCAACUUCGAGCUGUCGGUGGAAACUAUUCGGCUAGAGUCCGGAAGAGGAGAGUGGAAUUCCUGGUGUAGCGGUGAAAUGCGCAGAUAUCAGGAAGAACACCUAUGGCGAAAGCAGCUCUCUGGGACGGUACUGACGCUGAGACGCGAAAGCGUGGGGAGCGAACAGG